AAUAGAUACCCCGGUAGUCCACGCCGUAAACGAUGAGUGCUAGGUGUUGGGGAGACCCCCCUCAGUGCCGCAGGUAACCCAAUAAGCACUCCGCCUGGGGAGUACGGUCGCAAGACUGAAACUCAAAGGAAUUGACGGGGGCCCGCACAAGCGGUGGAGCAUGUGGUUUAAUUCGAAGCAACGCGAAGAACCUUACCAGGGCUUGACAUCCCGCUGACCGGUGUAGAGAUACGCCUUUCCCCUUCGGGGGACAGCGGUGACAGGUGGUGCAUGGUUGUCGUCAGCUCGUGUCGUGAGAUGUUGGGUUCAGUCCCGCAACGAGCGCAACCCUUGUUUCUAGUUGCCAGCACUUCGGGUGGGCACUCUAGAGAGACAGCCGGUGAAAGCCGGAGGAAGGUGGGGAUGACGUCAAAUCAUCAUGCCCCUUAUGUCCUGGGCUACACACGUGCUACAAUGGCUGGUACAAAGGGCAGCGAACCCGCGAGGGGGAGCCAAUCCCAAAAAACCAGUCUCAGUUCGGAUUGCAGGCUGCAACUCG
rnacentral:rRNA from 1 species